rnacentral:rRNA from 1 species
UACGUAGGGUGCAAGCGUUAAUCGGAAUUACUGGGCGUAAAGCGUGCGCAGGCGGUGAUGUAAGACAGUUGUGAAAUCCCCGGGCUCAACCUGGGAACUGCAUCUGUGACUGCAUUGCUGGAGUGCGGCAGAGGGGGAUGGAAUUCCGCGUGUAGCAGUGAAAUGCGUAGAUAUGCGGAGGAACACCGAUGGCGAAGGCAAUCCCCUGGGCCUGCACUGACGCUCAUGCACGAAAGCGUGGGAGCAAACAGG